CCUUUUCAAAAUAACUUUAAUCGCAGCUUUUGAUUUCUUCCUUUAAUCUGAUUUUUACAUUAGUAUUGCAAAGAGCAAAGCAGCUCUAGGCUUAGGCAAACCUUAAGGUUUGGCCACUCACAAAAUCUGAUUUCCAAAAACAAUCCUGUACUUUGCCUGAAAAAUGAAUUAAAUGCUCAGAGUGCAAAAUUAUAUUGAUGUGCUCUCAGCUACAUCUGCUUGCAUCUGAGAUUCCACUAGAAGGAAUUCCACCAGACUAACCAACUGCAAGAAUUCACAGAAUACUGACUUCCUGAACUCCAUUUCAUGUGAAUUAAUGUCACUGCCUUACCUUUUUUUAAAAUUUCCACUAUGCCUAGCAUUUUGCUUAUGCAUUGGGGCAGUCAUACAUUCCUGGCAGCUGACAAAGAGUGCACCUGGGCCCUCCUUAAUCAAGGAGAAGCCCCACGUUUCUUGCUGUUUGUGGUUGAAUUCCAGUCUAAGUGCUGUGCCCAUGGCAUUCAUUGAAGAGUACCACCUUUGAUGGUGGUUGAAUUCUUUAAAACCCAUUCAUGAGAUGUGGGGGCUACAGACAAAUCUGGAAUACCUGUCAAUCUCUAGUUACUCUGAGAAGAUGGUGGUGGUGACUUCUAAAGGAAUGCAACCAAGUGGGUGACUUAUGCACGUCACCUGAUGAAGGAGCAGCGCUCCGAAGGCUUGUGAUUUCAAAUAAACCUGUUGGACUAUAA